GCCUUGGUGGUGUAGUGGUAGCGCGUAUGCGUGCCGGAUAGGACAAAACGCGGGUUCGAUUCCCAGCUGAGGCC